rnacentral:sRNA from 1 species
AACAAGGUUUCCGUAGGUGAACCUGCGGAAGGAUCAUUACCGAGUGCGGGCCCUCGUGGCCCAACCUCCCACCCUUGUCUCUAUACACCUGUUGCUUUGGCGGGCCCACCGGGGCCACCUGGUCGCCGGGGGACAUCUGUCCCCGGGCCCGCGCCCGCCGAAGCGCUCUGUGAACCCUGAUGAAGAUGGGCUGUCUGAGUACUAUGAAAAUUGUCAAAACUUUCAACAAUGGAUCUCUUGGUUCCGGCAUCGAUGAAGAACGCAGCGAAAUGCGAUAAGUAAUGUGAAUUGCAGAAUUCCGUGAAUCAUCGAAUCUUUGAACGCACAUUGCGCCCCCUGGCAUUCCGGGGGGCAUGCCUGUCCGAGCGUCAUUUCUGCCCUCAAGCACGGCUUGUGUGUUGGGUGCGGUCCCCCCGGGGACCUGCCCGAAAGGCAGCGGCGACGUCCGUCUGGUCCUCGAGCGUAUGGGGCUUUGUCACUCGCUCGGGAAGGACUGGCGGGGGUUGGUCACCACCAAAAUUUUACCACGGUUGACCUCGGAUCAGGUAGGAGUUACCCGCUGAACUUAAGCAUAUCAAUAAGCGGAGGAAAAGAAACCAACCGGGAUUGCCUCAGUAACGGCGAGUGAAGCGGCAAGAGCUCAAAUUUGAAAUCUGGCCCCCUCGGGGUCCGAGUUGUAAUUUGCAGAGGAUGCUUCGGGUGCGGUCCCCAUCUAAGUGCCCUGGAACGGGCCGUCAUAGAGGGUGAGAAUCCCGUCUGGGAUGGGCGGCCGCGCCCGUGUGAAGCUCCUUCGACGAGUC